CUUCAAUUAGUGUACUAGCACUUUCUAUUUUCAUUAGAAGAGAUUUAUUGAAGU
rnacentral:tRNA from 1 species